rnacentral:rRNA from 1 species
AUGACGUCAAAUCAUCAUGCCCCUUAUGUCUGGGCUACACACGUGCUACAAUGGUUGGUACAACGAGUUGCGAGUCGGUGACGGCGAGCUAAUCUCUUAAAGCCAAUCUCAGUUCGGAUUGUAGGCUGCAACUCGCCUACAUGAAGUCGGAAUCGCUAGUAAUCGCGGAUCAGCACGCCGCGGUGAAUACGUUCCCGGGCCUU